rnacentral:rRNA from 1 species
CCCUUAGAUGUUCUGGGCCGCACGCGCGCUACACUGACGAAUGCAACGAGCUUAUAACCUUGGCCGAAAGGUCUGGGUAAUCUCCAAAUUUCGUCGUGAUGGGGAUAGAUUAUUGCAAUUAUUAAUCUUCAACGAGGAAUGCCUAGUAAGCGCAAGUCAUCAGCUUGCGUUGAUUACGUCCCUGCCCUUUGUACACACCGCCCGUCGCUCCUACCGAUUGAAUGGUCCGGUGAAUAAUUCGGACUGCAGCACUGCUUGGUCUCCAGGCUUUGCAGCGGAAAGUUUAGUGAACCUUACCAUUUAGAGGAAGGUGAAGUCGUAACA